rnacentral:lncRNA from 1 species
CGAAUAUCUUACUAUCAAAAUAUUUUACAACCCAAUCAAACACUAUAAGAAUCAUAAGGUCAUUAUCUAUAUAAAAAAAAGUUUAAUUUGAAUAAAAAUCCAUAAAUGGGGUCAAGUAUACCUUGUGUGCCUUUAAUUUAAUCCAAAAGUAUCCUACUUUGUAAAUCAUGAUAUAAUACUAGGAUAUUGCUACCUACUCAUAUGUAGCCUGCUAUGACUCAUCAUAAUAAUACAUCAC